rnacentral:tRNA from 1 species
AGGAGCUGUGCCCGAAUGCCAAAGGACCACUUUGAUAGAGUGAAUCAUGGAGGCUAAAAUCCUCCCAGCUCCUU